ensembl:lncRNA
GUCUUGCUGGAGAUCCUUGCAUAGCUGAGAUCUUGCAACAAUGUGUUUGCUGUCUGCACAUGUGAAGGAACCAGAGCUCAGUACAGGCAUUCCCAGCUGCUGACACCAAAGUGGGAAGCGGGGAGCACAAGGGCUGAAUGGAGCAGGAAGGUUCCUCUUCAACCUGAACAGAAGUUGUUUGGAGUCCUAAUUCAUACAUAAAUGUCUUCUACUAAAACUCAUCUGCCUCAGCAAUCCAUAUUUGGCAUUCGUGGCACCAAGAGGUGGAAAUUUGCCCUCAGAACAGCUGGAGGAGGCACUGUGACUUGGAUCUCCCUGUUUCUUCACUGAUUUUUGUUCUCCUUGUGAUGUAGGUCCUUUUGCCCUUAUCUUCUGAUACAAGCUGAGUUUUCCUUGCCCUCAGACCCAGCACAGUCUCAUUGCCAUGGAUGAGGGAUCGGGAGCACAGCAGCACUGGUCCCUGUGCAGCUCUGCACUGGGGUCAAUACUGAGCUUGUCUCUCAUAAUAGAACUCCUCACAGAAACAAAGCCAUGGGCUCAAAACUGCACUUGCUGCUUCUCCUAGGAGUUUUGGCUCUACAUCAUCCCCAUUUAGAGCAAUUACUUGAUUUUUAUGGAGGAUGAGGAUAGGAAUUUUGAAAAAAAAAAAAAACUUCAUUUUGAUGCAACUAAAUCAUUUGCCAGGGGAGAUUCAAACCUUUAUUUCAUACUGUGGGGUUUUCUGGCAUGAAGUGCCACAUGCCCCUGGUGCUGUGCUUGGCAGAGAGGGCGGCGCUGCCUGGGUGUGCAGCCCCCACCUUCCUGCAGCUCCAAGGGCAGCCAGCACUGGAGAAAGCAAAUGGGAGGAUGGGUUUCUUUUUAUAUCAUUCUAAUAAAGUGACAAGGAUGGAGCUGGAUACCUCCUGACAUGCAGCAAAAUCCAAACAAGCCUGAAGCUGUCCCUGCCUCAGUUUUGCAUUUGUUUCUAUACGUGACUGAGUGCCAAAGUGAAAGAUGAGCAAAGCCCUUCCACCAGAACAAAUAAAACUUUGGCUCAGAAAUGGUGGCAAGUGAUCAAGCACCCAGUUUCUUUGUGCUGGAGAACCACAAGUACUUGUGGUUGGGCUUAAUCUCUCCUCAGGAGAGAUUUCCACUCUCCAGACCCAUGCAGGCACUCACCCUACCACUGGAGGUUUGUGUCCAAGUGGGAUUGAAGUCCCCUGCCCCUAUUGUAGAAUGCUGACAGCUGCCUGGGGUUUAUUCUCUCUUAUGAAAAGCCAUGUAUACAUACACUUACCUCCUUUUUUUUUU